rnacentral:rRNA from 1 species
GAUGAACGCUGGCGGCGUGCCUAAUACAUGCAAGUCGAACGGGGAGUAGCAAUACUCUUAGUGGCGAACGGGUGAGUAACGCGUUGGUACCUGCCCCGAAGCGGGGGAUAACGGACCGAAAGGUCCGCUAAUACCCCAUGUGCUCGGUAACGAGUAUAGGUGAAAACCACUUUGGGAGGGGCCUGCGUCCCAUCAGCUAGUUGGUAAGGUAACGGCUUACCAAGGCGAUGACGGGUAGGGGACCUGAGAGGGUGGCCCCCCACAAUGGAACUGAAACACGGUCCAUACACCUACGGGUGGCAGCAGUAGGGAAUAUUGGUAAUGGGCGCAAGCCUGAACCAGCAACGCCGCGUGUGCGAUGACGGCCUUCGGGUUGUAAAGCACUUUUGACUGGGACGAGGAAGGACGGUACCGGUCGAAUCAGCCUCGGCUAACUACGUG